rnacentral:rRNA from 1 species
CACGUAGGGGGCGAGCGUUGUCCGGAUUUAUUGGGCGUAAAGCGCACGUAGGCGGCUUUGUAAGUUAGAGGUGAAAGCCCGGAGCUCAACUCCGGAACUGCCUUUAAGACUGCAUCGCUUGAAUCCAGGAGAGGUGAGUGGAAUUCCGAGUGUAGAGGUGAAAUUCGUAGAUAUUCGGAAGAACACCAGUGGCGAAGGCGGCUCACUGGACUGGUAUUGACGCUGAGGUGCGAAAGCGUGGGGAGCAAACAGG